UACGGGGGGAGCAAGCGUUGUUCGGAUUUACUGGGCGUAAAGGGCGCGUAGGCGGUCAGCACAAGUCAGUUGUGAAAUCUCCGGGCUUAACUCGGAAAGGUCAACUGAUACUGUGCGACUAGAGUGCAGAAGGGGCAACUGGAAUUCUCGGUGUAGCGGUGAAAUGCGUAGAUAUCGAGAGGAACACCUGCGGCGAAGGCGGCUAUCUGGACGACAACUGACGCUGAGGCGCGAAAGCGUGGGGAUCAAACAGG
rnacentral:rRNA from 1 species